AAAGGGAGACCUAAUUCAGGUAAAAGACGAAAAAAAAGUAGUCGCUACCAAGAAUCAAUCCCAAAAGGUCGGAGCGAGGCGAAAUUGGCUUUCAAACUAGGUUCUGGGUUCAAACAAGACCUGAAUCAGGAACAAGGGCUAUUAGCUCAGGUGGUUAGAGCGCACCCCUGAUAAGGGUGAGGUCCCUGGUUCGAGUCCAGGAUGGCCCACCUGCACAGAUGGCAAAAACAAAGAAGCGAGGAAUCAGCACCUUACCUUACUGACAUAGUAAGAGAGAAUGCUGGCUCUGAGUAAAGAGUCCAGAGGAACCUUGAAAACUGCAUAGAGCUAGGUGAAAAAGCCAAAAAAGAAGACCGCAAG
rnacentral:tRNA from 1 species